rnacentral:rRNA from 1 species
CACGGGGGGAGCAAGCGUUGUUCGGAUUUACUGGGCGUAAAGGGCGCGUAGGCGGCGCAACAAGUCACUUGUGAAAUCUCCGGGCUUAACCCGGAGCGGUCAAGUGAUACUGUCGUGCUAGAGUGCGGAAGGGGCUACUGGAAUUCUCGGUGUAGCGGUGAAAUGCGUAGAUAUCGAGAGGAACACCUGCGGCGAAGGCGGGUAGCUGGGCCGACACUGACGCUGAUGCGCGAAAGCCAGGGGAGCGGACGGG